GCCGCGUUUCAGUAGGGUCGAGCAAGUGGGAAUUUGUCCUUCCCUGCUGGCGGCCGGGCUCCAGGGCACGGUUCUGCCUGUCUUUCUGGCCCUGAAUUGGGAAGGUUUUUAUCCAGGGAGCACGAGUGUGCGCCCCUGAUUUGAGUGUGACAGCGGGAGCGUCCCCAAGGCUGCGGUCGGGCGUCGAAAGUGCUUGGGUGCGGUGUGGCUUGUGCUGCUGGCGGCCUGAUGUGGCCGUCACGGGUCUUGUGGAGCCGCGCGUGGUGUGUGCGUGCUGAGGGACACGCCGUGGAUCUGCGCUCUGGAAGCACCCCGUGAGCGAAAGAGGAAUUGAGGAUAAAUACAUGGAUACCGGGAUACUCCACUCCAACGAGAACAUAGGAAUGCCAAGAAUGAAAAGUGCAACCUGAAAACUGAUGAGUCCUUUGAGGAAAUCCGCGGACUAUUCUACAAAGCUGAUAAUCACAAAUAUUUCUGUCACUCCCUGAGCAAAUCCCUCAUCCUCAGAGUUGGACGGUUGCCUCUCUCUUGCUUUUGCUCAGCUGAACAGUAUCUUCCUCUCCUUUUGGAGUGUGCAAAAGCAGACGACGCUAGCUUACCUUUGCUUUCCUCAAAGGCCAUAUGUGAGACCAACAGCAAGGGCUUCUGCCAGUCCUCUUCGGAAAUGCUAAUGGAGAACAAAAAUGCAAGAGAGUAACCGAAGAGGGGGCUUUCCAAAGGCUCAGAGCAGAUGCAUAUUGGAAAGAGAAGAGUCUUAGUAAUUCCAAGCCUCCUCUUGCAUUAACCAGGAUUUGGGCCAAGUAUCAGGCAUGCUCUCAAGAGCCUAUUCCAAAGGGUCAGUAAUGCAGAUCAACAGGGGCUUCACACCAUGAACAGAAGGAAGAUGUGGCCCUAACUGAAGAUUUCCCAAAGAGGAGCUUUAAAUGAUACAAUAAACGUUGGCCAAAGCCCAACUGCGAUGCAUCAGUACAGCAGCAGGGGAGAGAGAAGCAAAGGGGAUCGAACCGCGUUCAGUGCGAAGGCAAGUACCCAUUUGUACUGACUGAACUGCUGUACUCCCGUCCCUCCACAGGGACCCGGACAAAAUGGAUGGAGCUAAAGGACUUCGCAGGAGCCAUUGCCUUUUUGUCUCUGGUACACAAAGUGCAUUUGGUGCGUGUCAUGGGCAAUGACAGCAGUAGGUGAUCAGGUUAUUGGAUGACAGACCUGGUCACACAGGUCUAGUGAGAUUCUUCCCUUGCGUGCUGUGCACGCUAAGGCGGAGAGUGUUUGGGUCCCUAUUGUAUGUACACAAAGGCAGACUGUUGUCUGCAAGUGGGACAUUUGGGCUCAGAGUGUAAUUCUGGACUAUGUUUUUCUCCUUGGGAUAUUUCUGAACUGCAGUCAGCAUGCUCCCCACUAGAAAGUGACAUGUCGGAGCCACCCUCUCUUGUUGAAAACUUGGUAAAACGUCUGUACAAUAUUACGGUCACCAAAAUAUGUCUAAAACUAAUUGGUUGCAUGUGGGAUAGAUUGCUUUAAUAUAAAGAACUGAAUGCACUGAAGACCUGCCAGAGGUUAUGGAAAAGAUCAAAGGAGGUCAGAUAAAAGGCCAAAUGUAGCUUUAGUGAGAGCAGUUGUGAUUGUAUGCACUUCAGUGGCAAGGCUCCUGCCAGCUGCCGUGGCUGUGAUCUUUCAUCGGGUGCACGUAGGCAGGCCUCAUCGCCAGGGCCCGCACUUGACAGCCGUGUCCAUCCUUGCAUGUUAACAUUACGUCCCAGGCAGCUGCAUGGUUUGGUCUUCAACAGAGCCAGCAAUUCAGUGCAAGAGCUCAAAUGUUUCAGUCCUCUGGGAAGUAAAAAUGUCACUUGGGACAUUUAUAAAUUAAAUAUCUUAAACAAUUGUCAGAAACCCCAUAAAACAGUCAAGAAAGAGGCACCAACCUUCCUGGUAGCACUGCCACCCUCCCAUUUCCCCAUUGAUGGUAACCACUGCAGAGCUGUUGCCAUCACUUUGUUCCCACACUCAAUAGCCCCACUUUAAGGCCAGGAAUUCACUGUACUGCAAAGAGAAGACAUUGCAGUGCAUGUUGAAAAACAAGCCCCCUGGGUGCAGAGCCCUCAGGGCUUUGCACAAUAUCUCACUUACCUUCAUAGCCUGCUCAGAUGUAAUUGUGUGGUGCAGCUCCAUAGUACUAUUAUAUCAGAUAUAAAACAGUUUUGGAAAUAGACUUAGUGGAAUUCUCAUAGUAUGUUUGCAUUAACAUGAGAUAUAUUUCAAGCCCCCCCAAAUGCCAUGAACUUACUUUUCCAAUCAGUUAAUUGUAUCAGCUGUUCUUUGUUGGUUUGUUGCUGUCUCAAAGCAUCCAGAACAGCUGUAAUCAGUGUUUAAAAGCAGAGAGUGUUGCUGAACCUGGAGCAAGGACAAUUUCAGUGCAGAGCUUCAGCAAAUAUCACGAAGUAAGAUCAAGGCAUCAGCCCCUGCGGAGGCCACAGCCAGGAGAGACUCCUGCUCUGCAGGGUUGCUCAUUACACAGUCAACAGCUCAUACUGCAUCAAGUAACCUUUUAUGAGGCUCAGCCUAUGAGAUGGGAGAUGCAAGAUACAGCUUACUAGACAAUACAAGAUGGUGCUAUUUGGCACAUGAAGGUCCGACUCUGAGACUUGGGCUCGAUUUCCACUUAAAAAUGUUGUGGGCAUAGCUAUACUGGUCAGGAAGGAGAAAGGCAGUGUGCUUUUGAGCAAUGCAAUUACAUUGGCAAGAACCCUUGUGCAAACAACUGCACUCACAGGUGAGUCUCCUUCCUUGUGUUGUGUGCUGCCGCAGCAAAUGCUUGGGUUGGUCUGAGGUGACCAUCCCUCAGGAGCGCUCUCCAGCCUGGCUUACCCAGCAAGUCCCUUCCAGGUUGAUGCUUUCAAGCUUAUCAAGGUUUUGCCAGCUAGGGGAAGGCAAGGAAGAAGGGCUGCAUCUCAGGGCUGUAGUGUCACUGAGUAACCUCAUGAGGGAGUUUACCUGAGCCUCCUCUUUCUCCUCGCCAGCAGACCCAGGUAAGGCUGAAAAGAGCGAGGUGCACGGUGGAACAGCAGAACCUUGCCAGGAGUCAAGUUUGCCCUGCACCGGGUUUCCAAAGGCUUUUGGAGCACUUCCAACGUGUGUGAAAGCCUCUGUGCCUGGCUUGGACAGUUCAGGGCUGGUCUUCCCUGAUGGGCUCCUAAUGAAUUAUCCUCUCCUAUUACAUGUACGAGGAACUCUUGAGAUAAACACAAGCCCUGUAAUUAUGGUGCUUGUGUUAGCAAAUUAGACCAAGCUGAGCCAAAGGGUCUUACCAAGGUAUUAGAUGCUGCUGCGUUAUACGCUUUUUUUCAAAAACUACCCAACAGGAGAGAACUCUGCCACCGUCACAAAGUGAAAAGCUUGGCAGUGUGCUGGGAGGGCAGCUACCUUGUCUGAGUGUCUAGAUCCCUGUCCAAAAAUUGCUGUCCGUAGGAAUAAAGAUUCAAUGGCUGAGGACCCUUAAACACAGGCCCCCGACUGAAUUUAUGAGCGCAUUUUAAAGCCUUUCAUUUCUUCAAAUAACAGUGUGUAUUUAGACACCUGUAAAAAGGUUUUGCCCACUUGGCACUCGCCUGCCCAAAGCGGCUCAUUAAGGACUUGCCUUGAUGCCCGGGCAGAGGCUAGCCUGGUGCUGAGCACUCCAAAAUUGCCUCUUUAGCUCCAAUUCUGUUUGUUUUAUCGUCUUUACAGAGCAAGCCAUUUAAAAGCCACCUUCUGAAGGGCUGUGUACUAAAAACUACCAAACACUUGAUGGUGCUAAGUGGUGACUCAAAUUGGUGUUAUUUUUCUCCUAUGAGCCACUCAGCGAAGCAGAGCCAGCGUGACUGGAGCGUUCCUCCGACCUGCGCAUGUGACUUUGAAUUGCUUCAGCGUUCUUGGAGUAGGGCAGAGACGUAGGUGCCUCGUAAGCGGUGAGAAAGAAGUCCAUUAUGAGCAGAAGCCAUGAAUUAUAGUCAGCCCUUUUGUUAAUUAAUGCUUCAUUACUUAGUGCUAAUUUAGCAAAUGAGUGCCAUAAUAGUUUAAUCAAGGCUAGAGAGAGGGGAAGGUGUACAAUAUCAGUGGGGAUCGACUGUUAUGUAUGUGGGGCUGGGGGCUGCUGCCUUGUAGGGGUAAGGUGCAGCUUGGCCAUUCAGCAGCGUCCUGCCAGGGCUGGUGCGAGUGUUCUUGCAUUGCCCAACGUUGCCAACGUUGCCACUAGUCAGCCAAGCGGCUGCAGCUUGCCGCUGUGGGAAGUUGCCGCUCUCAUCAAAUCCCUGAAGGCAGGGUAUUUUGGGCUUCACUGUGAGCAAAGAGAUCCUGAUACGCUGGUGUUCAUAUAAAGCAUAUUGAAGAAGCUGGCAGAAGCCUGUCAGAGAGGGGGAGACUCUCGCUCUUAGUGGUGGAGACAGAGGAGGCCAAGCCAUCUACCAUGAAAUAUGUGUCUGCAGUGUCCCCUUGCAAAUGUACGGUGAAUAAGAGUAAAACCCUUUCAGAGCCUGUAAUGGCAGCAGCAGAGUGGCCUGGUGAUAUUUUUCCAGCUUCUACUUGCUGCCAUUGUUUUCCUGCAUCCAGCCUGUGUGUGCCCUUGACAAAACACCGGAUUCCCCCCUGCUUCCAGACAAGAAGUUUAAGUGCAACAAGCAAUGGCCUUUUUCUGUUGGGGUGCUGCCUGCUUAGUAAAGAGAGUGAACUCUCUGCCCAGGAGCUUAGAUGCCUACUCUCAGAAAAUGUGAAAACCUUCCCAUGCUUUUGCGGUUCUCAGGGGUACCAAGCAAGGGAGCUAUGCGCUGAGCUUGCACCUUUGGCUACCGUUGCCUGUAGCCUGGCCCAGGCCCUUCCAAGAGAUGCAUCUCCUCCAGUGCCCAUCGCACCAAGUCCAAUUGAGCCCCGGCGCUUUCACCUAACACAUUUUUGAGUUUUCAUCCUGAAACAUUAUCGCAACUAAGAGCUAUUCGGUUGACCCUGUGUGUAUCUCAUGUACUGCUGCAAACUACAGUUAAACUAAGAAAUUACCGACUGAAAUAGUGGUCCAAAGGAAGCAGCAAUUAUGUAUCUAUUGUCUGACUGCUGCUUUUUUGCAGCGGAGAUGACUCCUUGACAUUAGGCCUAUGGAGUCUGCCCGUUAAUAGUAGUUUUAAAUGGUCAAGAGGUUACAGCAGUAAGGAAUGUUAGUAAAAAUGUCUCUGUGGAGUUUAAACAACCAGUAUUUUAGGCAGGACUUGGUGGGUUACUGUCCCUGCACAAACAACUAGAAUGUGAGAGUUUGGGCUGGGAAAUACUUAAACUGUUUGGAAAAACUUGUUUUGUGCAGCUUGAGAGUGUCCCUGGAGGCUGUGGCCCAAUGCCAUGACUCCUGGUAAAGGCUGGGCUGCAGUAACAAUGAAGCUUUUAUGGGGAAGCUGGAGUACAAUCAGAAACUUUUUGGUCCCGAGGGAUUAUGGGGAGGGGAGUUCCUGGGUUCAAGAUGUCUGGCACAUUAUGCACAUUUCCACCAGGAUUUGGGGGUGUUCUGUGGCAUGCAAGGUAUGCAAAUUGCCAAAUGUGUUUUCAAUUUUGCUGUGUUGUGCUGUGUUUGUUGGGUGAUCGUUUUCUCUUUAGUGUAGCUAUAAGAGAGGAUGGGUUCAUAAUGUGAGAGGACAAGUCCGGUUGUCUCCCAAGCAGUAGUGACCUAUGAAGAGCUUGUAUUUCUGAUUCUCUAGCAUAUUCCUGACUGGGUGGCUAGAGAAAGCAAUCAAUCCUGGGUUAUUAGUUAAUUAAACAUCCUCCAGUAAGAAGUGUCCUGAAGUGAAAGGUAUUGUUGAAUGAUUCCAUUCCUUACCGAAGUGAUCAGAACGUGUGCACAGAAACUAUCUUGUUUCAUGUGGCUAUUACUUAACCAUAAUCUUUUGCAUGCUUUAUAUAGCAGAUGUCAGCAAGAGGUCUAGCAAGUUAUUGAAGUAUCCACUCAGUCAGCAGCAUAGUGUCAAUUCAGACUUUCUUAGAAGGCAUCACACUGCUGCAAAUUAGUUGGAAGGCUUUGUUUGCUACAGGACAGAAGGCAUUUCCUGUUAGACGUAGGUUUCCGUUACAGAUGGCAUUAAAUGAAAGAAGAAAACAUGGCUGGAUGGACCCAAAGAAUCACCUUUCUUACAUGCUAAGGAAGAGAUAAGGGUGCAUUUGUGAAGCGUGUGGGCUGAACUAGCACUGCCAGGAUGUAUCUGUUCUGGGAAUACUAAAUUUGAUCCAAUGCCUGUUGCAAAUCAUUUAGAAGGGUCCUACUGGUUUCAGUAGACUGGAAGGGACUGUCCAGAGGCCGAGGAGCUGCUAACCAGCAUCAUACAAACAAUUAGUUCCUCAUUAGGCUGCCUUGCAGCAUCGAGGCUGGGUCCCACAUGCUCCACGCGCAGGUGAGGGCAGCUAAGGGCCAGCCGAGCUCUGGGGUCUGUUCAGCUCGGCAAGGGGGAUGGGCCUCGGCACGAACAGGCUAAGAGGAUGGAAGUAAAUUGUAUUUUAUUUUAUUUAUUUAGAUUAAAAAAGUUUGUUACCAAACUGAAACUGCCC